rnacentral:rRNA from 1 species
CCUACGGGUGGCAGCAGUGAGGAAUAUUGGUCAAUGGACGAGAGUCUGAACCAGCCAAGCAGCGUGAAGGAGGACUGCCCUAUGGGUUGUAAACUUCUUUUAUAAGGGAAUAAAACGAGGCACGCGUCCCUUGUUGCAUGUACUUGAUGAAUAAGGAUCGGCUAACUCCGUGCCAGCAGCCGCGGUAAUACGGAGGAUCCGAGCGUUAUCCGGAUUUAUUGGGUUUAAAGGGUGCGUAGGUGGGUUGUUAAGUCAGUGGUGAAAGUUUGCGGCUCAACCGUAGGAUUGCCAUUGAUACUGGCAGUCUUGAGUGCAGUUGAGGUAGGCGGAAUUCGUGGUGUAGCGGUGAAAUGCUUAGAUAUCACGAAGAACCCCGAUUGCGAAGGCAGCUUAC